GGAGCUGUGUGAGGGUGGUGAGCUAUUUGAUCGGAUCGUUGCAAGGGGGCAUUAUACCGAGAGGGCAGCAGCUGCGGUGACUCGCACAAUUGUUGAAGUGAUUCAGAUGUGCCAUAAGCAUGGAGUUAUGCAUCGGGACCUCAAGCCUGAAAAUUUCUUGUUUGAAAACAAGAAAGAGACAGCACCAUUGAAGGCAAUUGAUUUUGGUCUCUCAGUAUUCUUUAAGCCUGGUGAGAGAUUUAACGAAAUUGUGGGAAGUCCGUACUACAUGGCGCCCGAGGUGCUGAAGAGAGACUAUGGUCCAGAAGUAGAUAUCUGGAGUGCUGGAGUAAUUCUCUACAUCUUGCUAUGUGGUGUUCCACCAUUUUGGGCAGAAACUGAACAAGGAGUUGCACAAGCAAUCAUUCGUUCUGUUGUGAAUUUUAAAAGGGACCCUUGGCCUAAGGUAUCCGACAAUGCAAAAGACCUUGUGAAGAAGAUGCUUAACCCUGAUCCUAGCCAGAGGCUUACUGCUCAAGAAGUUCUAGAUCAUCCCUGGAUACAAAAUGCAAAGAAG
rnacentral:misc_RNA from 1 species